AUGGGGCGCAGCAGGGGCGAAAACUCCACAAUGCACGAAAGUGUGAUGGGGUUAGCCCGAGUGCUGUCCGUUGAGGAUGGCUUUUCUCUGGUAUAAUUAUCCAGAGGAAUAAGAGGGGGGCAAGACUGGUGUCAGCCGCCGCGGUAAUACCAGCUCCUCGAGUGGUAGGGAUGAUUAUUUGGCCUAAAGCGUUCGUAGCCGGCUUAUCAAGUCCUUCGUGAAAUCCUGCGAUUCAAUCGUAGGGCGUGCGAGGGAUACUGUUAGGCUUGAGGACGGGAGAGGUCGACGGUAGUCCUGGGGUAGGGGUGAAAUCCUAUAAUCCCAAGACGACCACCAGUGGCGUAGGCGGUCGACUAGAACGUGCCUGACGGUGAUGGACGAAAGCUGGGGGAGCGAACCGGAUUAGAUACCCGGGUAGUCCCAGCUGUAAACGAUGCGGGCUAGGUGUUGGGACAGCUACGUGCUGUUCCAGUGCCGCAGGGAAGCCCUUAAGCCCGCCGCCUGGGAAGUACGGUCGCAAGGCUGAAACUUAAAGGAAUUGGCGGGGGAGCAC
rnacentral:rRNA from 1 species